rnacentral:rRNA from 1 species
GGAUGAACGCUGGCGGCGUGCCUUAAGCAUGCAAGUCGAACGGAGAGUGGCGCAAGGCUACAAUCAGUGGCGGACGGGUGAGUAGAAGCAAGGAACGUACCCUUUACUGUGGCAUAGCUCGUCGAAAGACGGGGUAAUAUCGCAUGAGGCCUCACGGCCAAAGAGGUUAACCCCUCGGUAAAGGAGCGGCCUUGCACCUAUCAGCUAGUUGGUGGGGUAAAAGCCUACCAAGGCGAUGACGGGUAGGGGGUGUGAGAGCACGACCCCCCACAAUGGCACUGAGACACGGGCCAUACAUCUACGGAUGGCAGCAACUGGGAAUCGUUGGCAAUGGACGAAAGUCUGACCACGCGACGCCGCGUGAGGGAUGAAGCCUCUCGGGGUGUAAACCUCUUUUGCCAAGCAAUCGAGGCUUGGCGAAUAAGCGCCUACAAACUACGUGCCAGCAGUCGCGGUAAUACGUAGGGCGCAAGCGUUAUCCGGAUUCACUGGGCGUAAAGAGUCGUGUAGGUGGUUUGCCGCAUCGUACUUGAAAGCCCGAGGCUUAACCUCGGCGUUGGGUACGAGAUGGGUAGACUCGAGGGUGGGAGAGGGAAGGGGAACUGAUGGUGAAGCAGUGAAAUGCGUUGAUAUCAUCAGGAACACCAAAGGCGAAGGCACCUUCCUGGCCUACCUCUGACACUGAGACACGAAAGCUAGGGGAGCGAAGCAGAUUAGAGACCUGCGUAGUCCUAGCCCUAAACGCAUGUCUGCUAGAUGGUCUGGUUUUACUGGACUGUCGCAAGCUAACGCGUUAAGCAGACCGCCUGGGGAGUACGAUCGCAAGAUUAAAACUCAAAGGAAUUGACGGGGACCCGCACAACCGGUGGAGCGUGUGGUUCAAUUCGAGACAAAGCGAAGCACCUUACCAAGGUUUGACAUGCUACCGUUUUAACCCGCUAGAAAUAGUAGGCUAUCCGCAAGGAUGGUAGCACAGCUGCUGCAUGGCUGUCGUCAGCUCGUGCCGUGAGGUGUUCCCUUAAGUGGGAGAACGAGCGCAACCCGUAUCCAAUGUUACAUGUUUCAUUGGAGACCGCCCUGGAAAUUUGCCAAGUACAUACGCUUUUCGUGAGCUCCGUAGCCCGCGGGCAAAUUUCCAGGGAGGAAGGAACGGACGACGUCAAGUCAGCACGGCGCUUAUACCUUGGGUCACACACACCCUACAAUGGCGAACGACAAUGGGACGCAAACCGGCAACGGCACGCAAAUCUCUUGUAAUUUCGCCUCAGUUCAGAUUGGGGUCUGCAACCCGACCCCAUGAAGUCGGAAUCG